UUUCUUCUCUUUUCUUCUUCUUUCUUCGUUCUUCCUUUUGCCCGAGCACAGACAGAGAGAAAUUGAGAGUGAGAGAGAGACCGGGAGAGAGAGGCAGAGAACCGAGAGAGAGAGUGACGGGGAAGAGAGGAUCUGUGAGGUGCGACUCGAUCCGGAAAGGACCCGAUGCAGCCCGUUGAACCCAUGAGGACCCGAUCCUCCAUGAUCGGCGGCCGAGACUGGAAUCCGGCGAUGGAGGAGCUCCGACGGAACCUAGGAGCCGAACCACGAAGACCCGAAGCCUAGACCCGCGACCCGUGAGCUCAAACCCGUGCGACCCGCAACCCAGAACCCGUGACCCGCGGAACCCAACGGCUUGAAGGCGGGUAUUCCGUCGGCUAGAAUCCAUUUCCAGCGACUGGGGAAACAAUCGACGAACAGAGACCUCCAGUGGCGCGAUUCUCAGUGAAGCCGAAGGAAACCCAUUGACCCGAUGGCCCAAUAAGACCCGGUUCUUCAAAGUGAUUUCCGGCGACUUUUCCGACGGAAUCAGUGGCGUUUUUCGGUGGAUUUGCUAUGAAAAUCUUUGGGAUCGAGUUAUAAUUGGAGACUUCAAUGGGUUCUCCAAUGUAGAGUUCGAGUUGGAGUCUAAUGCAGCCAAGAUGGUGUUUCUUUGGCUGCAGGUACUUCGGUAUAGUUGAUGGGUUGGUAGCAGUGUACUUGAGAUAUUAUGACUGAAGCUCGCCGCGAUAGUUGCAAUUGUCGGACCAUGGGUUGUCCACUAUUUUAUAGGUUUGGUAUGGCUUGUGACGUUUGUGUCACUUAUUCUUUGUUAAGCCAUUAUUGUUAUAGUGUUAAUAAGACUCAAACAGAUAGAUGUUAAAUGGAUCUUUGUUGUAAUUAAUUUGUAAUAGAUGUAUAAGUUGUAAUUUCCGCUA